UGUACUCAAGCGGCACGACCAGCUCCUGCCAAAUCCCCCAGGUCCGGAAGGAAGCAAGGGUAGGCGGUUGUAGCGGUGCGAUGCCGCUUCUUUUUUUACUUUUU
rnacentral:SRP_RNA from 1 species